CUCGUUGUUGUCGGUCGGUCGUGUUAAUUCUUGCGAGUGCAAUUUUGUCCGAGUCGAAGGUCGCCGCGUGUGUUUGUGUGAUUUUAUCGGAAAUAUUUGCGAAUAAAAUGGUUUUAUUUUGUGACAAUUGUAUAACAACGCUUUGCAUACUUUGCCGCCAAAUUAUGCGUGCAUGGGGCGUCUUUCAUGAAUCGCUUGGAAAUUUUAUCAAAUAGAAACGAUUUGGCUGAACGUCGUGCAAAAUUGAUAAACACUAGUCCUCCUACUUCUUCCAAAUUUGGUCUCAUUGGAUCCAGAAUGGCUUGAAACGCCGAGAAAACAUAAAAUUAGCGCAUCGGAUUUUUUUAUGGAAACAAACUU